rnacentral:rRNA from 1 species
GACGAACGCUGGCGGCGUGCCUAAUACAUGCAAGUCGAACGCAGUGGGGACGGGCGAGUAACAUGUGGGUAACCUCCCAUCAGAGGGGAUAACACUUGGAAACAGGUGUUAAACCGAUAGUGAUGGAUGGACCCGCGGUGCAUUACCUAGUUGGUGAGGUAACGGCUCACCAAGGCCACGAUGCAUAGCCGGCCUGAGAGGUUGAACGGCCACACUGGGACUGAGACACGGCCCAGACUCCUACGGGAGGCAGCAGUAGGGAAUAUUCGGCAAUGGACGAAAGUCUGACCGAGCAACGCCGCGUGUGUGAAGAAGGUUUUCGGAUCGUAAAGCUCUGUUGUUAGAGAAGCGGUAUCUAACCAGAAAGCCACGGCUAACUACGUGCCAGCAGCCGCGGUAAUAC